UCAUCCUCAUCGAAAGCCGGUGGUUGUC
rnacentral:sRNA from 1 species